UCAGGAGUUUAUCCACUUCCUCGACUAUCACUUUUUGCCUUUCCGAUGCAUGACCUCGAAUUUUUUCUUUCGUCGGUCGAUGCUUUGGAUCAACGGCCAGACGAUGUUCCAUGACCUCUGCAUCAAUCUUCGGCAUGUCUGCAGGAACCCAAGCGAAAACAUCCACAUUCUUUCAUAGAAAAUCAAUGAGCUGCGUCCGCACCUCUUCCCCCAGGUUGGAGCCGAUCUUCACCA
rnacentral:lncRNA from 1 species